AAAGGCAUGUAAGAUCUGUAAUCACUUUGGGUCCAUUGUAUCACAGCAGGUCUGAAAGGCCAUGUAAGAUCUGUAAUCACUUUGGGUCCAUUGUAUCACAGCAGAUCUGAAAGGCCAUGUAAGAUCUGUAAUCACUUUGGGUCCAUUGUAUCACAGCAGGUCUGAAAGGCCAUGUAAGAUCUGUAAUCACCUUUGGUCAUUGUAUCACAGCAGAUCUGAAAGGCCAUGUAAGAUCUGUGAUCACUUUGGGUCCAUUGUUUAUUUGUCUUUCAGUCUAUCGCUUUUCAGCUUUUGAAAGAUGAUUUUAUUUGAAACCUUGAUUCAGUUUUUACUUAUUUUUUUUAUGCAUUUUUUAUUCUGGUUAUACAUUCAAAUUUAUAUUCAGCCUGUUUUCAAAAUUACAGGGGCUGUUUCAAAAAAGAAAUUUUCAAAAUCACAGUUUUACUGUCUAGAGAUGCCAUGUAAUCAACGCAGACUCAAGUUUAUUAUAGUUAAUUAACUCCUUGUAAGUUACAGCAAAAUCAAUCUAUUUAUUGUGAUAAGUCUCAGAAUAGAAUUAAGCAUUUCCAGUAACAAUUAUUUUUACCAUUUAUUACUGUUUAAAUUAUAUAUUGUAAUAUAGAAAUAUAUUUUGAUGAUAU
rnacentral:lncRNA from 1 species